CCUACGGGAGGCAGCAGUGGGGAAUAUUGCUCAAUGGGGGAAACCCUGAAGCAGCAACGCCGCGUGGGGGAUGAAGGUUUUCGGAUUGUAAAGCCCUUUUUGUAGGGAAGAUAAUGACGGUAUCUGACGAAUAAGCCCCGGCUAACUCCGUGCCAGCAGCCGCGGUAAUACGGAGGGUGCAAGCGUUAUUCGGAAUCACUGGGCGUAAAGAGCGCGUAGGCGGGUUAGCAAGUCAGAGGUGAAAGCCUAUGGCUCAACCAUAGAACUGCAUUUGAAACUGUUAGGCUAGAGUGUGGGCGAGGUAGGUGGAAUUCCUGGUGUAGGGGUGAAAUGCGUAGAGAUCAGGAGGAAUACCGAUGGCGAAGGCGACUUGCUAGAACAUAACUGACGCUGAGGCGCGAAAGCGUGGGGAGCAAACAGGAUUAGAUACCCGAGUAGUC
rnacentral:rRNA from 1 species